rnacentral:rRNA from 1 species
AAUCCAUAGGUUAAUGAGGCGAACCGGGGGAACUGAAACAUCUAAGUACCCCGAGGAAAAGAAAUCAACCGAGAUUCCCCCAGUAGCGGCGAGCGAACGGGGAGGAGCCCAGAGCCUGAAUCAGCAUGUGUGUUAGUGGAAGCGUCUGGAAAGGCGCGCGAUACAGGGUGACAGCCCCGUACACAAAAGCGCAUGUGCUGUGAGCUCGAUGAGUAGGGCGGGACACGUGGUAUCCUGUCUGAAUAUGGGGGGACCAUCCUCCAAGGCUAAAUACUCCUGACUGACCGAUAGUGAACCAGUACCGUGAGGGAAAGGCGAAAAGAACCCCGGCGAGGGGAGUGAAAAAGAACCUGAAACCGUGUACGUACAAGCAGUGGGAGCACAGGUUUACCUGUGUGACUGCGUACCUUUUGUAUAAUGGGUCAGCGACUUAUAUUCUGUAGCAAGGUUAACCGAAUAGGGGAGCCGGAGGGAAACCGAGUCUUAAUUGGGCGUUAAGUUGCAGGGUAUAGACCCGAAACCCGGUGAUCUAGCCAUGGGCAGGUUGAAGGUUGGGUAACACUAACUGGAGGACCGAACCGACUAAUGUUGAAAAAUUAGCGGAUGACCUGUGGCUGGGGGUGAAAGGCCAAUCAAACCGGGAGAUAGCUGGUUCUCCCCGAAAGCUAUUUAGGUAGCGCCUCGUGAAUUCAUCUCCGGGGGUAGAGCACUGUUUCGGCUAGGGGGCCAUCCCGGCUUACCAACCCGAUGCAAACUGCGAAUACCGGAGAAUGUUAUCACGGGAGACACACGGCGGGUGCUAACGUCCGUCGUGAAGAGGGAAACAACCCAGACCGCCAGCUAAGGUCCCAAAGUCAUGGUUAAGUGGGAAACGAUGUGGGAAGGCCCAGACAGCCAGGAUGUUGGCUUAGAAGCAGCCAUCAUUUAAAGAAAGCGUAAUAGCUCACUGGUCGAGUCGGCCUGCGCGGAAGAUGUAACGGGGCUAAACCAUGCACCGAAGCUGCGGCAGCGACACUGUGUGUUGUUGGGUAGGGGAGCGUUCUGUAAGCCUGUGAAGGUGGCCUGUGAGGGUUGCUGGAGGUAUCAGAAGUGCGAAUGCUGACAUAAGUAACGAUAAAGCGGGUGAAAAGCCCGCUCGCCGGAAGACCAAGGGUUCCUGUCCAACGUUAAUCGGGGCAGGGUGAGUCGACCUCUAAGGCGAGGCCGAAAGGCGUAGUCGAUGGGAAACGGGUUAAUAUUCCCGUACUUGGUGUUACUGCGAAGGGGGGACGGAGAAGGCUAUGUUGGCCGGGCGACGGUUGUCCCGGUUUAAGCGUGUAGGUGUGUGUUCCAGGUAAAUCCGGUUCACUUUAACACUGAGGCGUGACGACGAGGCACUACGGUGCUGAAGCAACAAAUGCCCUGCUUCCAGGAAAAGCCUCUAAGCAUCAGGUAACAUCAAAUCGUACCCCAAACCGACACAGGUGGUCAGGUAGAGAAUACCAAGGCGCUUGAGAGAACUCGGGUGAAGGAACUAGGCAAAAUGGUGCCGUAACUUCGGGAGAAGGCACGCUGACACGUAGGUGAAGUGAUUUACUCA